AAAGCUAGUUGUAUUAACUAUUAGUUAAUGCAAAAUCGAUUAUGUCGAAUAAAGUUCUAGGUAGAAUAAUGAUUAUGACAAUUUUCUACCUAUAUGUCUUGACCAAACCACGUGCCAGCAGUCGCGGUAAUACGUGGAAGACUAGUGUUAUUCAUCUUUAAUAGGUUUAAAGGGUACCUAGACGGUCUUUCUAGCCCAAAAUAGGGUACAGAUUUACUAGAGUUUUAUGUGAGGAGGGGAGUACUUAUGGAGUUAGAGAUGAAAUUCCGUCAUACUAUAAGGAAACUGGUGGCGGCGUAAGCAACCUCCUAUGUAUAAACUGACGUUGAGGGACGAAGGCUUGGGUAGCAAAUAGGAUUAGAUACCCUAGUAGUCCAAGCAGACAAUCCUGAAUGCCAUAGAUUAGAUUAUUUUUGGUCUAUAAAUGAAAGUGUAAGCAUUCCACCUCAAGAGUAAUGUGGCAACACAGGAACUGAAAUCAUUAGACCGUUUCUGAAACCAGUAGUGAAGUAUGUUAUUUAAUUCGAUGAUCCGCGAAAAACCUCACCACAAUUUGAAUAUAAUACAAGCGUUGCACGGCUGUCUUCAGUUAAUGUCGUGAGAUUUUGGUUAGUUCCAUAAAAUUAACGUAAACCCUUACUUUAUUUA
rnacentral:rRNA from 1 species